rnacentral:rRNA from 1 species
CCUACGGGGCGCAGCAGUGGGGGAUAUUGCACAAUGGGGGGAACCCUGAUGCAGCGACGCCGCGUGGGUGAAGAAGCGCCUCGGCGCGUAAAGCCCUGUCAGCAGGGAAGAAAAUGACGGUACCUGAAGAAGAAGCCCCGGCUAACUACGUUCCAGCAGCCGCGGUAAUACGUAGGGGGCAAGGGUUAUCCGGAUUUACUGGGUGUAAAGGGGGCGCAGACGGCGAGGCAAGCCAGGAGUGAAAGGCCGGGGCUCAACCCCGGGACUGCUCUUGGAACUGCGUGGCUGGAGUGCAGGAGGGGCAGGCGGAAUGCCUGGUGUAGCGGUGAAAUGCGUAGAUAUCAGGAGGAACACCGGUGGCGAAGGCGGCCUGCUGGACUGCAACUGACGUUGAGGCCCGAAAGCGUGGGGAGCAAACAGGAUUAGAUACCCCUGUAGUC